GUCCGUGCGCCAGGCCACUGAGUGGGCCGUUUUCAUUUUCCUGGGUCCGAUCCCGCGGGAAAAAGUCUGCACAAAACUGUGUUGGUGAAGAUGAUGACGACAAUGGCAGUUGGGGGAGAAAUUUGGCAAUUGUUUUGGCCUUUCUCGCGGCCUGUCUUCGCUCCUUUGCCUUUGCAGCAAUGGAAGAUGAUGAGUUCAAUGUUGUGCUUUGACGCCGAGUAGAAAAUUUGAAUCGCAAACGCCAUCUUGGCCUUUAUUUAUGGAAGAAACUGCUCUCCCCGAUUUGCUGGUUUCGCCGACUGGCAUCGAGAAGUAGACGAGCUGCGCUUUCCAAGAGCCGCGGACACCAAGCUCUCAUGGCGGAUCUUAGUGGAUCGUGCUCCAACGCGUCUUGGCAUUGUGUGAGAACAGCACGAAGAGGACCUUGGGUAUUGCAGCCUUUCCGCAGAAGGAGAAUGACUCGCUUCUUUUGCUAGUGUGCAAACAUCCAUGUGUUCUCCCAGUACUGCUGUUAGCUCAGCCAGAGGAUUAUCGCAGAUCUGAGUGUGACAAGCGAUCAGCUGUAAUAGCUUUGUUGUGAAUGCUUGCACUGCUGUCAACUAUUAUCCAUUCUAGCUGUGCCUCGUAGCACUCCUUGCAAAAGACAUCAUUUUAUGCUAUUGUCAUGUUCUUACUCUUUGGAACUGCUGAGACCGUUUCAUAGUGGGAACAGUUCAUCUGUGCCUGUUUGAGUGUUUGUGCAUAACUGUCUUUACAUGUGCUGCAAUGCCGCCUAUAUUGGCUCGGCGUGCACUUUUGAGCUCGUCCGCUACGUUCCGUUUCAUACACUUCUGUAGUAACGCAAUUAAGAUUCUCAUUGACACUCCUUUACACAGCCAGCGUAUGUGGAUAUUAGUCUGUAGGUGGCUGCAAUUUGCGUUUUUGCCUUUCGCCGUUCACUAUUUUACCAAAAUAUUCCAAUAUUCUGCAUUUGUCGGAUGUGUGCACUGGUGUCCAGACGAGUUGCUUGGCAUAACUCGCAGGCAGGAAUGCACACACGCCCAUGGUGUACCUGAGUGGUAUUAUUACACCGUCCUGAUGUGUUCAUUGUGAGUGCUACAUGCUUCCAGCUGUCCUCCAUAUACAUGUAAAUAGCGAGAAAAACAGAGGUUAGAAAAUUG